rnacentral:rRNA from 1 species
GACGAACGCUGGCGGCGUGCCUAAUACAUGCAAGUAGAACGCUGAAGCGAGGAGCUUGCUCUUCUUGGAUGAGUUGCGAACGGGUGAGUAACGCGUAUGUAACCUGCCUGGUAGCGGGGGAUAACUAUGGGAAACGAUAGCUAAUCCCGCAUAAAAUGGUUUAUCGCAUGGUAAUCCAUUGAAAGGUGCAAAUGCAUCACUACCAGAUGGACCUGCGUUGUAUUAGCUAGUUGGUGGGGUAACGGCGCACCAAGGCGAGGAUACAUAGCCGACCUGAGAGGGUGAGCGGCCACACUGGGACGGUGACACGGCCCAGAGUCCUAGGGGAGGCAGCAGUAGGGAAACUGCGGCAAUGAACGGAAGUCUGACCGAGCAAGGCCGCGGGAGUGAAGAAGGUUUUCGGGUCGUAAAGCUCUGUUGUAAGAGAAGAACGAGCGUGAGAGUGGAAAGUUCACACUGUGACGGUAUCUUACCAGAAAGGGACGGCUAACUACGUG